CAAUAGCAUAUAUUAACGUUGUUGCAGUUGAAAAGCUCGUAGUUGAACUUUUGGUAGGAGCGACCUGGCCUUGGGCGCAUGCCCUUGUUUGCCGUGUGUCGUAUCUGGCCAUCCUUUUCCGUUUCGGCGGGAAUCUUUUACUGUGAGUAAACUGGAGUGCUCAAAACAAGACGUUUGUUUGGUACAUUAAAGCAUGGAAUAAUAAGAUAGGACCUGGUUACUAUUUUGUUGGUUUGCAUAGCUAGGUAAUGAUUAACAGGGACAGUUGGGGGUAUUCGUAUUUAAUUGUCAGAGGUGAAAUUCUUGGAUUUAUGAAAGACGAACGACUGCGAAAGCAUUUACCAAGGACGUUUUCAUUAA
rnacentral:rRNA from 1 species